rnacentral:rRNA from 1 species
GAUGAACGCUGGCGGCGUGCUUAACACAUGCAAGUCGAACGGAGUUUACAUGAAGCCUAGCGAUUGUAAACUUAGUGGCGGACGGGUGAGUAACGCGUGGGUAACCUGCCUUAUACCGGGGGAUAACACUUAGAAAUAGGUGCUAAUACCGCAUAAGCGCACGAGGCUGCAUGGCCUAGUGUGAAAAACUCCGGUGGUAUAAGAUGGACCCGCGUCUGAUUUUCUUUUUGGUGAGGUAACGGCCCACCGAGGCGACGAUCAGUAGCCGGCCUGAGAGGGUGAACGGCCACAUUGGGACUGAGACACGGCCCAAACUCCUACGGGAGGCAGCAGUGGGGAAUAUUGGACAAUGGGGGAAACCCUGAUCCAGCGACGCCGCGUGAGUGAAGAAGUAUUUCGGUAUGUAAAGCUCUAUCAGCAGGGAAGAUAAUGACGGUACCUGACUAAGAAGCCCCGGCUACUACGUGCCAGCAGCCGCGGUAUACGUAGGGGCAGCGUUAUCCGGAUUUACUGGGUGUAAAGGGAGCGUAGACGCAUGGCAGUCUGAUGGUGAAACCCGGGCUCACCCCCGGAUGCAUUGUAACUGUCAGCUAAAUGCGGGAGAGAAGUGGAAUUCCUAUCGGACGUGAAGCGUGAAUUAUGGGAACCAUUGCAAGGCUUUGCUUAUACUAGUACGGGGCAAGAUACUGGUCCCCCACAACGUGGAUUGGU